GAUGAACGCUGGCGGCGUGCCUAAUACAUGCAAGUCGAGCGAAUGGAUUAAGAGCUUGCUCUUAUGAAGUUAGCGGCGGACGGGUGAGUAACACGUGGGUAACCUGCCCAUAAGACUGGGAUAACUCCGGGAAACCGGGGCUAAUACCGGAUAACAUUUUGAACCGCAUGGUUCGAAAUUGAAAGGCGGCUUCGGCUGUCACUUAUGGAUGGACCCGCGUCGCAUUAGCUAGUUGGUGAGGUAACGGCUCACCAAGGCAACGAUGCGUAGCCGACCUGAGAGGGUGAUCGGCCACACUGGGAGUGAGACACGGCCCAGACUCCUACGGGAGGCAGCAGUAGGGAACCUUCCGCAAUGGACGAAAGUCUGACGGAGCAACGCCGCGUGAGUGAUGAAGGCUUUCGGGUCGUAAAACUCUGUUCUUAGGGAAGAACAAGUGCUUGUUGAAUAAGCUGGCACCUUGACGGUACCUAACCAGAAAGCCACGGCUAACUACGUGCCAGCCGCCGCCGUAA
rnacentral:rRNA from 1 species